rnacentral:rRNA from 1 species
GAUGAACGCUGGCGGCGUGCUUAACACAUGCAAGUCGAACGGAAAGGCCACAGCUUGCUGUGGUACUCGAGUGGCGAACGGGUGAGUAACACGUGGGUGAUCUGCCCUGUACUUCGGGAUAAGCUUGGGAAACUGGGUCUAAUACCGGAUAGGAAUCACAUGUGGGUGUGUGGUUGGAAAGCUUUUGCGGUAUGGGAUGAGCUCGCGGCCUAUCAGCUUGUUGGUGGGGUAAUGGCCUACCAAGGCGUCGACGGGUAGCCGGCCUGAGAGGGUGUACGGCCACAUUGGGACUGAGAUACGGCCCAGACUCCUACGGGAGGCAGCAGUGGGGAAUAUUGCACAAUGGGCGGAAGCCUGAUGCAGCGACGCCGCGUGGGGGAUGACGGCCUUCGGGUUGUAAACUCCUUUCGUCAGGGACGAAGCGAAAGUGACGGUACCUGGAGAAGAAGCACCGGCUAACUACGUG